rnacentral:hammerhead_ribozyme from 1 species
CUCCAACUGACGAGUCUCAAAUAGGACAAAACGCGCGUCAUGGAU